rnacentral:rRNA from 1 species
UACGUAGGGGGCAAGCGUUGUCCGGAUUUAUUGGGCGUAAAGAGCUCGUAGGUGGUUCGGUAAGUCGGAUGCGAAAUCUCCAGGCUCAACCUGGAGGGGUCAUUCGAUACUGCCGUGACUAGAGGUCGGUAGGGGAGUGUGGAAUUCCUGGUGGAGCGGUGAAAUGCGCAGAUAUCAGGAGGAACACCCGUAGCGAAGGCGGCACUCUGGGCCGAUACUGACACUGAGGAGCGAAAGCGUGGGGAGCGAACAGG